ensembl:lncRNA
AACUAAAUGAAAUGCAAACCUCACUAAGGGUAAAGAGAUGUUAUUCCAUUGAAAGUGGAAUACCAAAAGGGAAGCUCUUGUACUACCCCAGAAUGCUCUGUAAAAUGAACUGUGGUCUCUACACUAAGAUAGUAAUACAUCUUAGAUAGGAUGACAAAAAUAGCAUCCAGCUCUAUAAUGGGAGCCCUCUCUUAUCCUCUUUGAGACCCGGUGUGGUGUGUUGAUUGUGACAUAAUCUUCUAGAAUACCAGGGACAGCGAAAGUGAGAUGUGAAAGAUAAAUAUCUCCGUGGAAGGGAGGAAGUCCUUUCUUCUAGGAAUAAAUGGUUUUUGCAAGGACUCACAGGCCUCUCUUGCCUGUUUCUCAAAGUAUAAAAAGUUCCAAACCCUCAAAAUCUACUUGCACACAGCCUACAUGCUGCCUAACAAUGCACAGGGUUGAAAGGCCAACUUAGCUUCCCAGUUCCCCCAGAGAUAGUAGAAUUUAUCUGUGAUGUUCUGUGGAUGGGGCCCAUCCGAUAUUCUUCAGGUUCUAUUUAUUUAUAAGACAUUGCUGCUUUCAAUGUGUCACCAAAUCUUUUUGCUCUGUAAAAAGCUUGAAAUGUUUUGUGGUCCCUGGCACAGUGUUAAGGAUCAUAUAGGGCUUUUUUUUCUUUCAGUUGUACUACAGAUAGCAUGAGGGAGCAGCCCAUCAAACCUAUCCUGCAGCUGCUUAUUACGCUGUAUUACUACAAGAUGUGUGGGACAGGACUCAAUCUGGGAAGGCAUCCUGAGGUCACUGUUGCACUUCCUCUUUACCAUAGAACAUAUCCUGGUAAGAUGAUUAUUAGAGAUGUCCUCUUUGACAUCCUGCUUUCACAUUAAGCAUAUUUAUAAGAGGAUAUGAGUAAUCUGUAAGUAUCAUGAACUACACCUGUCACAAUGAACACUUUUAUUAUUCAGAUUUUAUAUUUUUAUAGCAAGCUAACUUACAUGAUUUCUCACUGUAGCCCUAUUUUUCCUCCCAGUUUUUAAUAACCAGUUUCAAGAUUCUUCAAGUUGCCUUUCUCAUAUAGUCUGACAGACACUUGUCAUUCAUUUUCUUAGGUACUAUAAACGUUUAACCACCUGCCAAUAGCAGUACUCAUCUAACUACCUUGCUAUGACAAACUCAUAUUUGGUAACUCACUACUUUCCUCUACCCUGCCUCCUACCAGUUGUAACUUUCACCUUCUCCACACUCUUGGGAUACCUGGUGUUACAGAUACCUUAGCAUUUUAGUCAGGACUGGUGAUGCCUUUUGGUUCCACCCAUGGCAUAUUAUCACUACCUGUCUAGGAAGUUAAAGAACAACUCACUGCAGCCUUUCCAAAAAAUACAAGAAAUCAUUCCAGUGGAUUUCCAUCCCCAGUUUUCUUACUCAACACUAAAAGAUCUUUUCUUGAUGUAGUUCUUAAAGUCCACCAACCCUCCCUUUUUAUUUCCUGCCUUUUGUUCUUGACUGAUUCCUCUCUCCUUUGUUUUAACAGCCAACUAUUUUAAGUCUAUUUGAAAUAAGGUAAAGGCAAACACAUAUUCUGAUAACUUUGCCUAGACCGGUUUCCUUGCCUGGCAAUAUGGAACGCACCAGGUGACAGUUUUAUCUCCUGCUGUUUUGGGAUACAGAAGCAGUUGGCUUUUCCAAUAUUAGGAUGAGUCAAUUCCUGGUCUCCACAAGUACCUAAGUCUGAGUAGUUGAGUAGUGAGUUUUUAUCUUACUUUAUAGUUAUGUAUGUAUCUAUGUAUGUAUGUAUGUAUGUAUGUAUGUACGUAUGCAUUUGAGAUGGAGUCUUGAUCUGUCACCCAGGGUAGAGUGCAGUGGCACAAUCAUGGCUCACUGUAGCUUUGGCCUCUUGGCCUCAAG